rnacentral:rRNA from 1 species
CCUACGGGUGGCAGCAGUGGGGGAUAUUGGACAAUGGGGGAAACCCUGAUCCAGCGAUGCCGCGUGAGGGAAGAAGGUUUUCUGAUUGUAAACCUCUGUGGAGGGGGACGAAAAUGACGGUACCUGUUUAGGAAGCCACGGCUAACUCCGUGCCAGCAGCCGCGGUAAUACGGAGGUGGCGAGCGUUGUCCGGAUUUACUGGGUGUAAAGGGAGUGUAGGCGGGGAAGCAAGUCAGAAGUGAAAACUAUGGGCUUAACCCAGGGCCUGCAUUUGAAACUGUUGGUCUGGAGUGAAGUAGAGGCAAGCGGAAUGCCUAGUGUAGCGGUGAAAGGCGUAGAUAUUAGGAGGAACACCAGUGGCGAAGGCGGCUUACUGGACUUUGACUGACGCUGAGGCACGAAAGCGUGGGGAGCAAACAGGAUUAGAUACCCUAGUAGUC